GAGACGUGUACAUACUUCGUCAACUCUGAUGAUGGGAGGCGGACCAUUAACACACCCAAAGAGCUGACACUGAAGCAUCUGAGUGACAAGGGCUGCAGCUCAUCACGAUGAAGGCAGGCAUUCUAUUUCAAGGUGGUGCUAGUGGUUAAGUGCUCACCUGCCAAUGCUGGAGACAUAAGAGAUGUGGGUUCGAUCCCUUGGUCAGUAAGAUCUUCUGGAGGACGGCAUGGCAACCUACUCCAGUAUUUUUGCCUGGAGAAUCUUAUGGACAGCGGAGCCUGGCAAGCUAUGGUCCAUAGGGUCACAAAGAGCUGGACACAACUGAAGUGACUGCACAUGCAAGAACAAUUCAUCAUCAUAAUCCCAUCCUGUUUUCCAGGUAAUUCAGACUCCAUCCCCACAAUUUCCAGAAACUCGUCACCUUGAAGAGGUUGAAAAAGAAACCAAAAUAUUUCUUUCUUUAAUUGGCCGCUGCUUACAGGCUCUUAGUUCCUUGACCAGGGCCCCUGGCAGUGAAAGCACUUAAGUCCUAACCACUGGACCUCCAGGGAAUGCCCAACAGAAAUAUUUCUUUGGAAAACUAUGUAAUCUUGAAAAUGACUCAUAAUGAAAAUAUGAGUCAUCUUGAAAAUGACCCCCUCAUUCAGUUCAGUCGCUCAGUCUCCCCCCUCAAAAAAAGAAAAAAGGAGUAACCAAAUGGUGACAGGGGG
ensembl:lncRNA